rnacentral:rRNA from 1 species
GUGCCAGCCGCCGCGGUAAUACGGAGGAUCCAAGCGUUAUCCGGAAUCAUUGGGUUUAAAGGGUCCGUAGGCGGUCAGGUAAGUCAGUGGUGAAAGCCCAUCGCUCAACGGUGGAACGGCCAUUGAUACUGUCUGACUUGAAUUAUUAGGAAGUAACUAGAAUAUGUAGUGUAGCGGUGAAAUGCUUAGAGAUUACAUGGAAUACCAAUUGCGAAGGCAGGUUACUACUAAUGGAUUGACGCUGAUGGACGAAAGCGUGGGUAGCGAACAGGAUUAGAUACCCUGGUAGUCCACGCCGUAAACGAUGGAUACUAGCUGUUGGGAGCAAUCUCAGUGGCUAAGCGAAAGUGAUAAGUAUCCCACCUGGGGAGUACGUUCGCAAGAAUGAAACUCAAAGGAAUUGACGGGGGCCCGCACAANCGGUGGAGCAUGNGGUUUAAUUCNAUGAUACGCGAGGAACCUUACCAAGGCUUAAAUGUAGAUUGACCGGUUUGGAAACAGACUUUUNNCANNANAAUUUACAAGGUGCUGNNUGGUUGUCGUCAGCUC